GGGGCUACGCCUCUACUCUCCAACCCCUGUGACCUUACCCGCGUUGCUUCGGCGGCCGCGCCCCGGGCCCCGCGCCCGGAACCAGGCGCCCGCCGGGGGACCACAAACCAUGAAUCUUUCAGUAUCUUCUGAGUGGCACAAGCAAAAUAAAUUAAAACUUUCAACAACGGAUCUCUUGGCUCUGGCAUCGAUGAAGAACGCAGCGAAAUGCGAUAAGUAAUGUGAAUUGCAGAAUUCAGUGAAUCAUCGAAUCUUUGAACGCACAUUGCGCCCGCCAGUAUUCUGGCGGGCAUGCCUGUCCGAGCGUCAUUUCAACCCUCGCGCCCAUCCGGGCUGCGGUGUUGGGGACCGGCAUAACCCCCUCCGGGGGGCGCCGCCCCCCAAAUCCAGUGGCGGCCCCGCCGCUGCCUCCCUUGCGUAGUAGCACACCUCGCACCGGAGCGCGGCUCGGCCACGCCGUAAAACCCCCGACUCUCAGAGUUUGACCUCGGAUCAGGUAGGAAUACCCGCUGAACUUAAGCAUAUCAAUAAGCCGGAGGAA
rnacentral:rRNA from 2 species